UACGUAGGGUCCGAGCGUUGUCCGGAGUUACUGGGCAUAAAGCGCGCGCAGGCGGCGGUGUUGGCCCGGCGUGAAAGCCCCCGGCUCAACCGGGGAGAGUCGUCGGGGACCGCACCGCUUGAGGGCGGUAGGGGCUGGUGGAAUGCCUGGUGUAGUGGUGAAAUGCGUAGAGAUCAGGCAGAACACCUGGGGCGAAGGCGGCCAGCUGGGCCGUCCCUGACGCUGAGGCGCGAAGGCGUGGGGAGCAAACGGG
rnacentral:rRNA from 1 species